rnacentral:lncRNA from 1 species
ACCUACUUACAGCCACCGAGCGUCAGAAGGCCCAUCUCCUGGGGAAUGGAAAAGUGCCCAGCCGCUGGGAGGCCUCAAGCUGGAGAGCUACGGGGGAAGCAGGGCAGGUGUGGGGCUGGGAGAAGCUACUAAGCCCCACACCCCAGGUGCUCUGGGGCCUCGCAGCCCAGCUGCAGGGAGAUGGAACACUGUGAGCAGCUGUUCUUCUUCCUGGCCAUUUGGUUCAUCUACUUCUUUUCUGAUGCCAACCUCUCUUCCACCUACUCAGGGGCUGGAAGGGCGACUGGAGAGCCAAGCCCCUGCGAGUGAGGACAGAGAAUGGCCAAAGGCAGAGCCACAGGGUAGACCUUUGCACCUUGGGAGGAGAGAUUUGGAGAAUGGUGCUGCCUGGGCCCCUUUGCCCCCACCAAACCGCAGGGGUACCAUGGCCCUGACCUGCGUUCAGAGGGCCGAGUCAAUGUCACAGGAAGGGGAAGAGACAUGUGCCCACAGACCCUGUGGUCAUGGAGGGGGUGGAAGAUCUCUGGAGGGCAGCAGGGCCACAGCAAGGCUCUGAGGUCCUGAGUCUUCUCCGUCCGUGGACUUAAACUCUGCGUGUUUACAGCUGUUCUGUGCCUGGGUCCAGGCUCUAGUGAGAAAUAAACUGCCUUCAGAGCCAGGUCAUCGACAGGAAUGACAGCCUGGCAAGCUGCAGUGACUGCACACAGCUACCCUGUGAGCUCCACUUGUGUGGGUGCAGGUGGGCGACAGGAGUGUGUGACACAGACAGGCACUCCACCAGGAGGAAACCCACAGCAGACGUCAACCAUCGCUUUAUUAAGGCUGCGAGUCGGGGGGCUGAGUCAUGCACUCCACAGACACCCCCACUGCUCCCAAGGUCCACUUUUGGAUGACCCUGAAGGCAGAGACUCCUGAGAUCUGGGCCACAAUCUAGGGAGGCACAUUCGGGGCCCAGGAUGCUCCCAGGCUGCUCUGGUAAAUCAGGAAGGAAAACAGGCCAGGGUUAGGAAAGCUGCUCCAUGGUCCAGGCUGCUCUGAGGGGCAGAGCCUUCCCACCGUGCUGCUGCAGCAUCUGGCUUCAUCCCUCCCGAGUCCAUCCCAGUCUGAUCAGGUGGCCAAGGCUGGAGCAAGGCACAGCUCACUCUGACAAGAUAAACUGCAAGAAAUGUGAGAGGCGACAAGAGAAGGAAAAGGCAGAAUGCCCUUAUCUGGAGACCUGGCUUAGACCACACCCAUUCCAUGACGCCACCCCGGAUUGCCCCUUUCCUGUGCUUUCAGAGCCCACCAGCCCUUCUCAGCCUCCAAGGACACAGGACAUCAGCUCAGGGCCUUGAAGGAGCCCUAGUCAGCGUGGUCCUGAGUCACCAAGUCUGUCAAGGCCAACAGGACUGAGACCUCCACAAACUGACGCUGAAGUCUAAGGACCUUUUUCCUUGUUCCACCCCACUGCGCCUCAGAUGUUUCCAGGAGUUUCUGAAGGUCAUGUUAACUAGAAUUUACUCUUAAAACCAAAGACACAGAAAUAAACGUUAAGCAUAGUA